UGAAUCCUGACCCAUUGUUUUCAAUGGGUCUGUGUACAUGUUUUUGACGUAUCAUUUCUGUGUUCAGGAAAAAUCUCAGCAAGUUCUAUAUUCUGUAUUUUUCACGCAGCUCUGGUUCCAUGGGAGUGACAGGGCCUUCAGAGAAAUU